GAAUUGCUUAGAAUUGACUCAACACUGCCUCCUUGCUGAAUGGAUAAUUCAAGCAAACAACUCAAGAGCUGGAUGCUGCCCAGACAGAAGUCCUCCUAGCAUCUUUCUUCUGCCUUCCCCUGCUCCUGUCCCUGAAACCUUUUCUUCAAAAGAAGUGGAAAAGAGGAACUGGGAACCCAUAUAGCAACAGCAUCACCUGGAAUGAAUUCCUUUAGAACAUACUGUCUUGGAAAUCUGAAGCCUGCAGGGCUGGACAGGCAAGAAGAGCAGUGAGCACUGCAUGAACCUCACCCUUGAACUUCUAUAUGGUCUCCAAAGACAUGAUAAAUACAGAGAUUGCUCUCUCCUCUCAACUGCAACAGUAAUGAUUCCUUUGCAUUUUAAUUAAGUCUUUUACACAUGAAUAAGUCUUUAUCCUCAAAUGGACUAAAGACUCCUCGAGGACAAGAACUAUCCUUCAGUCCCAUACAUUGGUUACCUGGCAAAGGACCCUAAAUGCAGAUUAUGAAGUAGCUAUGGAAUUUGAAUGGGUUGAUUCUUCAGCUCCCAGAAAAAAACUUUGAUUGGUUUAACUGGCCACAGUAAUUGAUGUGGGAAUGAGGCCCUGACAUAAUUUCAACUUAGAAGACAUGUUCACUGGAAGUGAACUAGGAAGCAUGAAGUCUCAGACAUUCGACACUGAAAGAAUAAGCAGUCUUAGGAUGAAGGCAGUGCUAUGGACACCAGAACUCCAUGGUUCAGGCUGUUCAGCAUCAACUGUUCCUGACAGCCACCCUAACGUGCCUCCAGUUUCCUGGGCCAACAGAUGCCUGUCAUUGUUGAAGUUUCUUUGAGUUGGGUCUUCCGUUACUUACAAUUUAAAUCACCCUCACUGAUUACUAUGUACUUAAUUGUUCUCCUCCACUCUCUGCCAAUCCAUAUGCUGAAGCCUUAACCCCCAACGUGAUAGUAUUUGGAGACUGGAACUUUGGGAGAUAAUUAGAUUUAGAUGUGGUCAUGAGGAUGGGACCUUCAAGAUGAGAAUAGUAUCCUUAUAAAAAGUGGUACUAGAAAGCCUCUCUUUCUCUCUCUCUGCCACGUAAGAACACAGCAAGAAGGCAGCCAUCUGCAAGCCAGGAAGAGAGCCCUUACCAGAACUUGACCAUGCUGACACCCUGAUCUCAGAUGUGCAGCCUCCAGAACUGCAAAAAAGACACAUUUUCAUUGUUUAAGCUACCUAGUUUAUGGUAUUUUGUUACAGCAGCCCAAUCUGACUAAUACGCUGAUACAGGCAUAUUAGGGUACAUGCCACCAGCAGAGUGGUUCAACUGCAGGUCCACACUUACCCAGUGAAGGUGACUCAGCCUAGAGUGUGACUCAGUCUCUUCCCAACCCUGUCCGCAUCACCCCUGGAAGAGUCAGCUCCUCCCACAACUGCAGUCCUGACAGCAGCAUCAUGCCUCUGAAAUGAUCUUGCAAACAAGCUGUCAUUGGAGUGCUGAGAGAGUGGCAAUAUCAACUAAAAACAUGAAGAAGAAGAGCAACAAAGAGGAGGAAGAGGAGGAGAAGAGGGAAAGAAGUGAGGCGCUGUGGUGAAGAAUAGUACUUCUCAUCUCCACCAGAACAGCAGAGAACAAUGAAAGCACACCAUCAGGAC
rnacentral:lncRNA from 10 species